GAGUCCCGGCGGCUCGUCGCUGGCGCCCAUGAGGCGUUUGAGGAAAGUCCGGGCAACAUAGAGCACCAUAUUUCCUAACGGGAAGCUAUCUUAACGGGUAGAGACAACGUGACAGAAAACAACCGCCCUUCGCCCUCGUGGUGGAGCGGUAAGGGUGAAAAGGUGGGGUAAGAGCCCACCGGGCGGUAUGGCGACAUAUCGCGCCGCACGUCUUAUGGGUUGCAAGGUCAAGUAUACCGGCAUCCAAGGGCUGCUCGUCCAUUGCCGGGGGGUAGACUGCUAAAGCCUGCAGGCAACUGCAGGCUCAGAUAAAUGACGAGCCGACUCCGACAACUCACAUCCGUGAUAGUAUCGAGUCGACAUAACCCGGCUUACAGUCGGGGCGCCCCC
rnacentral:RNase_P_RNA from 2 species